GCUUCGGUGGCUUAGUGGUUACCGCAUCCGCCUCUGAUGCGGGAGGUCGUGAAUUCAAUCCCCGGUCGAGUCA